CUGGUUCCAGGGCUAGAGAGUUGGCUCAGUGGUUAAGAGCAGUGGCUGUUCUUCCAAAGGACCCGGGUUCAAUUCUUUGCAGGGCAUGCGUGGGUAUCACCUCCCUUUGUAGAAGAUGAAAACUGAGGCCCAGAGAGGAGAUGUCUUUGUCGAGGCUUUAUUGAUCUACACAUUUGUGCUUGCCUAUGUGUAUGUGUAUGUCUAUGUCUAUAUGUAUGUGUAUGUAUAUGGUCAGGCACAGUGUGGGGACACCAGAGGACAUCCCGUGCGAGUUGUUCUCUUUCAGGUUGUCAUGCUUGACAGCAAGUGCCUUUUUCUUGCUGGCCCACCUGCCAAGGUUUUGUUGAUGCUGAGUAGCCCAACACUCAUCCUGACCACCACUCAGAUCUCAGCCUCUUAGGCACAUGCAGGUUCCAGGACAGCCCUGUAUCUUCACCUUGGGAGCAGUAGGGAGCUGCUAAAGGAGCCCUGGAUGUGUCUGGCAUGCCAAGGCCGGGAGUUGCAAGGAGAGAUUGCAGGCAAGCCGUGUGGAUCUGGAGUGACAGCCCCUAAGGCGGCUCCUGUCUCUCUUUCUUCUCCUAUCUGCUGUCUCCUGCCUUCAGCCUUAGCAGCAGCUGCCGGAGCCACGGGACUUUGGAGGGUUAUGUCCGCCUAGGUGCCGCUGUGGCUGGACAGUCUUCAGUGGCUCCAUCUUGCUCUUAGUCUGUGGGCCCAUACCUUCCUGUUCUCUGGGUCUCUGGAAGCAGAGCCUGCUUUCAGGAGUCCUUUUUCGUCCAACAGUGUGUGUAGCCAGGCUCCCUCGCAGGCCCACCCUGCACCUGGCCAUCUCACGACGCUUUCCCCCCUGCAGUUUCUUGGGGGAUAUGCCUAGAUCUCUUCCUGACCUCGAGGUGCCCUCCCCACUGCAGACACAGCCUUUUUUUCCUGGGCACUGGUUAGAAAACAACAAAGAGAAAGAGACAUCCCAGGAAUUUGCCUGUGGCUCCCUUAUCAAGACAGAGAUGGCUCUCUGGGUCCUGGUGGGCUACCUAGGGCUGUCAGGGGAGGCUGCAGGACUCAGAGGAAACUGCAGGAGGAAGAGGGGGCAGAGGCUGGCUUCCUGGUGGAGGCUGGGCUGACAUUGAGGGAUUGCCCGGGAAACUCGGUUUUAUUGGGCAAAUACCUUCACCUUCCACCUGAUACCCAGCGCCCUGCCCCCAGGUGGUCUGGGGGAGGUCAGUGGGUGUUAAUUUCAGAUGCUGCCUGAAUAAGCACAGGGAUUCCCAGCUCAGGUUCUCACUUGGAAAAAAUGGCCACUGCAGCAGCUUGUAGGCAGACCACGGCCACGGCAGGCUGUUCACCGGAGUGGAGACAUGAAAGCAUUCAGGCACCCACUGUCAUACACAAACUGUCACACUGGGAUUAGAAGUGUCCCCACAAGAAAAGCUCCUGUGUUGGAGGCUUAGUCCCCAGUGCGGCAACAGUGUUCAGAGAUGGAGUCCCUGAGUGGUUACUGGAUCAUGGGGGCUGUGACCUUAAUAAAGGGUUAAUCCAUGCGAGGGAUCCUUAGCUCUGUGGGAUGCUGGGGAUGGGGAAACACGAGGAAGUGGGUCAUUGGAGGCGCGCUGUUUAAUUUACGUCAGCUUGACACACACAAGUCAUUUGGGAAGGGGCUCUCAAUUGAGAAAAUGCCUCCAUAAGCCGUGCCUGUGGGCAAGUCUGUUGACCAUUUUUGUGACUAAUGAUUGAGGUGGAAGGGGCCACUGUGGGCGGGGCCAUCUCUGGACUAGGGGUUCUGGGUUCUGUAAGAAAGCAGGCUGAGCAAGUCAGGAGCAGGCCUGCAAGCAGCACCCUCCAUGGCCUCUGCUGCAGUCUCUGCCUCCAGGUUCCUGCCCUGGCUUCCCUCAGAGAUGGGCUGUAAUGUGGAACUGUAAGCCGAAAUAAACCCUUUCCUCCCGAAGUAGCUUUUGGUCAUGGUGUUUCAUCACAGCAAUAGACACUUAAGACAAUUGGUUGGCCCAUAGGUGUGUCCGUGGGGGAUUUUUUUCCUUUAGAGUUUUUUCUUUUCUUGAGACAGCAUCUCUGAACACAGCCCAGACUGACCUUGAACUCACUGAGCUCUGUCUGAUUCUACCUCCCAAGUGCUGGAAUUAAAGGUGUGUGCCACCACUCCUAGCCUGGACUGUCCACUGCCGGCAGCACCAUUCCCUAGACAGAGGAUCCUGAACUAUAUGAAAGUAGAGAAACCCAGCUGAAUGGAGCAAGUAGCAUCCAUGCAUUUCUCUCUGCUCUUGACUGUGGACGUGAGGAAGGCUAGAGCCCAAGUGAUUCCUCACCUGGACCCACUGAAACCUGAUUGGCUGCAGCAUGGAGAUACUCCAGUGCUGUCGUCCCUCCAUUGACUGGCUGGAAUACUCCAGAAAGGAGUCACCUGUCCAGGCCAUGUGGCUGGAAGAUCUUUCCUGAUCAUCUUGCUGCUUUUCCAGCUGGGGAGGAAGCUGAGUUUCUCAGGCCAUGUGUGACUUGAGUUCUGGGUUACAAACCUAAGGCCCAGGAAGGUCCUUGCUGGAAAGAGCUACAACCAUGAUGCUUACAGGCUUUCUCCCAGACGGGCUUGUUGGGAAAGUCAGGCUCUUCCUUGACUUUGCCUCCAGUGGCAGCAUCCUUGGUGGACUGGGCGUCCUCUCCAGCCCAGCCCUGUGCCCUUGGUUGUGGACCCGGUUGAAGUCCUCUGCUGCUCUGCCUUGUGUCUUUCACGGGUGGUGACACGGCGUGGUGUGCAAGGGACUGAUGGAAGGAGGGGACCGACCCUGGAGACUUGUCCUUUCGCCUCUACAAGUGCUCUGUGGCUGGUGUGUGCCCAGCAAGACAAAUUAACUAACUAACUACACCCUGCUUUUUAUGUGCGUGCUGGGAACCCAAACUCGGGUCCCCAUGCUUUUGUGACUGAUAGUGCAGUCUGCCAGCCCAGGUGUUACUUUAUUCCUUCAACACAUUGGGUUUUUUUGUUGUUGUUGUUAUUGUUGUUUUUUGUUUUUUUUUCUCUGAAGUUCUCUUUUGGACAUAAAUUUCCUUGAGGUAUAGUUGACAGACAGCGGAUUCCAACUGUGCAUUUAAUGAACUUUUCUUUUCUUGUUUUCAGGCUGGCCUCGAACUCACAGAGAUCUAUCUGCCUCUGCCUCCCGAGUAUAGUGUUGGGAUUAAAGGCGUGCCCACCACCACCCAGUAAUAACUGUGGAAAAAGCUGCUUUGUGUCAAGUGACUGGGCGAGAACCUCAGUAACAGCCCCCCUGAGCAACUAUUAGACUCUGAGCCACCUGUGUCCCCGUGCAGGGCCCCAGACUCUCAACUGUGACCUCUUGUGGAUAUAUGGGUAGUUAUUAAUGAGUCCUCCCUCCCCCUCCCUUGUAUU